UAGAAUAGACUGCCCUCUGACAAGAAUUAUUGGAGUUACGAAAACAUAAAAAUAAAAACAAAAUAAAAAAAAAAAAAAAAUAAAGAAUUACUAUACAGCUUUACUUAUUAAUGAACACAAUUCGAUGGUCGAAAAAGUAUUGUAUGGAGAGUGUGACAUCGAUUGUGAUAGAGAAGGAGAAUGAAAUGAAGAUUUAGAUACUGAACGGGAGUGUGAUGUGAAUUUCGACAGUAUCGAAAAAUGAGGAUGAGACCUUAUGCUGGAACCACGAGAGAUUGCCCUAGAUGAUGUACGCGAACCAUUUUCAUUUUUAGAACCAGCUAAAAAAGCAUAAUAAUAAUGAUCAGAUAAAAAUUGUAAAGUUAAAAAUAUAUAUAACCUUUCUCUUUUGCUUUUUCAA